rnacentral:misc_RNA from 1 species
AAUUAUCAACUUCUUAGUUUUAUUACUUUGAAGCUUGGAUUUGGAAGUUGCAGGCUCUUUUGUAGUCGGCUCUUCUUAAAUGUAUUAGCUGCUUGUCCGUGGGUUGGCUCAGAGUGUGAUAAGUAUCUACACUUGGUGGCUGCUCGCUUGGAUGUGGCUUCUAAUCGUCUUUAGACAACUACUUAAG